rnacentral:rRNA from 1 species
GUGGGGAAUAUUGGACAAUGGGGGGAACCCUGAUCCAGCGACGCCGCGUGAGUGAAGAAGUCAUUCGUGAUGUAAAGCUCUAUCAGCAGGGAAGAAAAUGACGGUACCUGACUAAGAAGCCCCGGCUAACUACGUGCCAGCAGCCGCGGUAAUACGUAGGGGGCAAGCGUUAUCCGGAUUUACUGGGUGUAAAGGGAGCGUAGACGGUUGCGCAAGUCUGGAGUGAAAUGCUGGGGCUCAACCCCAGAACUGCUCUGGAAACUGUGUAACUGGAGUGCAGGAGAGGUAAGUGGAAUUCCUAGUGUAGCGGUGAAAUGCGUAGAUAUUAGGAGGAACACCAGUGGCGAAGGCGGCUUACUGGACUGUAACUGACGUUGAGGCUCGAAAGCGUGGGGAGCAAACAGGA